GAAACCGUGCAUACUUACAACAUACACCCCAAAAUGUGUGUGCGCCAAAAGUUGGCGUUUAUUUAAAAAAAAGAUGUACUCAGCUCCCCGCAAACUUUAGACCAUGCGUACACACAUCUCUGAUUCGAACCAUUCUGAUCUAGCGAGCUAACAAUGUUUCGUUGCACGGAUACAGUCUGGCUGAUGCGCCAACCAUGGAUAUACACGGCGACCUGUGACCAAUGAUUUAUAUAUACAGUGACUCACUGUUCUGAGGUGCGCUCAGUUCGCUUGAACAUUUGCUACAUUGUGGAACGAUUUGUACUGAACUAAACACUUCCCAAAAACGUUCAUGUACGUUAUUGAACAGACUUUGAGGCACAUGCUUCCUCGUAAAUUUGAGAUGACCCCACUAGAGAAGUAAACAAGCCAAGCUAAAGUUAGGCUAGGUAGCCUAGCUAACUAAAACUUGGGAGAAAAACUCAGCGAUGGACCUUUCUGAAAAGAAGACCGAACACUGCCACAUAGUAAUAACCAACCUGAAGCAUUUUUUUGUGCGAGUCGAGGCCAGCCAGAAAAGAUACCAACUGACUCUCUCAACCACCGUUGAAAAGUCAGGCUCAAGCUGCAAGGCAGGCGGCUCGAGUAGCAGAGGCCACCGCUGCUGGAUCAUCUGUUUGUGGUUCCUUUAGAGAAUGUUAGCUCCCUCAUUGAUGAUGGCAAUUGACAAUACAUGUAUGCUGCCAUUUGCUAUGAAUCACAGAUUUGUAAAAGAGAAUAUAUAUGAGCCUAUUGUUGACUUGGUGAUGUGAGGUCUGAAUCUUGUCUAUAUUCAGGUUCAUCAAAGAUUUGGCAUGCAACCUUGGGUUAUGACAAAGAAACACUAUGGCAAAAUUACACAGUUGGUGAUAUAACUAAUCUGGUUAAGAUGUGGUUUUAUUUUCUUGUGUCUUCUCAGAAUGGACAGGCAGCCCAUAGCCACUGUCAAAAGUUUCAUGCAGCGAAAUGUUCGAUGUAUCACAAAUAUGAGGUGUGCAAAAAUAAGUGACAUUAAGCAGAUGCUUUCAUCCAAAACACUGUGCAUGCAUUCAUUUUCUGUUCGUGGCUCUGGGAAUCGAACCCAUUGACUGUCAUGGUCGUUAUUUAUUUAGCUAUUUUAAAUUCGCUAUAGACUUCAUUUAACAGUUUAAUAGGCUAUUGCAAUAACUCAACAUGCAUGGUUGUAGGCUGCAUCACUUCAGUCUAUGUAGCAGAUUAUCCGGUGGAAGAUAUAGGCCUUCAUUUCUUUUUUUUAAUAAAGGUAUUCUAUGUCCUAGGCUACAACACAGUGCAAUAACGAAUGUAUUAUUGUUAGUACACAAUGAUUGUCUAGGCAGUGAUGUGGGCUAAUCAAACAUCCUUUUGCGUUUCAUGCCAAAAUAAAGCCCUGCUUAUACAACCA